UUUUUUUUUAAAGUAAAAGUAGAAAUAGUCUACCUUAUACAUUCAAAACGGGAUAGGGAUAAACCCGGAUGGCCAAAGGCCGAUUACAUGAAGGCGGGAUAAACCCGGAUGGCCAAAGGCCGAUUACAUGAAGGCGGUGUAAACGUGCACUAGAGAGUGCAGCAGGCCACCGCCAAGCCAGUUAUGAGAGAUUACAUAAGCCCAUCGUAAAAUUGUGCAGCGAUCACCUGCCGCUUUGGCACGCGAGCUCCACAAUCUCAGUAGCUCAGAAGCUUCAUGCACCGUUCACGUCACCUGCCAGCAGUCCUUGUUGAAGACCCGGGUGUUUCGUGCUCUCCAUAACCCAACAGCACCUGCUGCGAGCAAAACAUUCCAAAGCCUCCCAUAGGAAUCCAGUGAUGCACGACAACAUAGGAAAUCCUUCAUUGAAGAUGCUGAAGCUGCCGUUGCAAGAAGUCCCACUUUGCCCCAGACGUGGUCCGCGAGCUUACAUCUCAGCACGAUAUGAUCAAUGCUUUCCGCUGCUGGGCAGACGUCACAAUCAUUAUGUGGCGCAACGGUCGUCCAAUGCUUGCUUAUCAUGUUGUCCCUGGUGUUUAGUCUGCUCUUGAGGGCGAUCCAAAGGAACACUCUGUGUUUGCGGGGUAUGAUAGGAUCCCAAAUGCUAGCUUAUAGAAGUAUUUGGUCGAGAGCUUUCCGUUCGUCGCUGUGGGAGCUCUGGUAUCUCCCUGAACAGGGUCUGGCUGUAUUGCAAAAUAUCAAGCAAGUCCCCGAGUUCCCGAGAGGCGGUGUUGGAUAGAUUGGGGCGCAGAUGAAGUGCCCACUGUGCGUCUCUGAAUUGUGAAGCCACCGUGCAAUGCUUGGAGGAAGCAAAGGAAAAUAGUACCGGAAAAGCGAACCGUAGCCUGCCGCAUUGAAGCCAGUGGUCGAACCAGAAGGAGAUUCGGGUUCCAUCUCCCAGCUUACACUGUGUUGAGUGAAGAACAAGGUGCAUUGAUGAUUUUAAGCAUUUCCACAUGUUGGUAUCUCUGCUAUGCCGGAGGGUUGAAAUCUCCCUAUGACCAUACUGUGUGAUGAACCAAUUAAAGCAUGGGACAUUACUGUGUUGUAGAAUGUUGGACAUGAGCUUGCAUAUCAUCGCCAUGUUAUGUGCCUUGAGGUCUCUAACACCCAAGCCACCAUUCAUCCUGGGUGUAAUCACAGUGUCCCAUGCAACCAAGCAGUGCCCCCCCUUAGCUGAGUUUUUACCUUACCAAAGAAAGGCUCUUAAGAUUUGUUCCAGCUUUUCAAUCGACUGUUUCAGCCACAAGAAGCAGGCCAUAUAGUAGUUGGGAAUGGAUGCUAGAACUGAAUUUAUCAAAGUAACUAGAGUGCUCUUUGAGAAAUUUAUUUGCAGUCCUGUGAAACUGGAGAAGUCCUGCAAGAUCUGCUUGAUGAUUUGUGCCUGUUCAACAUCCCCCCGAAACAGAAUUAGUGUGUCAUCUCCGUACUGAAGAAUCGGAAAGAAAGCAUCCGCUUCCAGCAGGUGCUUUAAUCUCCCUGCACUGUAUUCCAGACGACAGAGCUGCUGCAAAACAUCUGCCACCAAAAUGAAAAGAUAUGGCGAGAGGGCGUCACCCUAUCUUAGGCCACUUAGACUUGAUGGUGCGUCCCAGUGAACCAUUUAUCAAGAUUUUGGCAGUACUUGACUUCAGCAUAGCCGAAAUCCAACGAAUCCAGCGAUCUCCAAAGCCCCUGACGAAGAGAAUUUUUGUAAGUGCUUCCCAACUGACACUAUCGAAAACUUUGCGGAAGUCCAACUUUAGAGCCACCAUCGGCUUACGCCGUAUCUUUGCCUGCUGUACGAGUUCAGCCGCGAGUGCAAAGUUUUCUGCUAUACACCUUCCCGGCAAGAAACCAGAUUGUAGUUGAUGCACUAACUCCGGUAUCACUCUCUGUAGGCGGGAAGCAAGAACUUUGGAGACCAACUUUGGUAAGGUGUGCACCAAGGAAAUGGGCCUAAAAUCCCGGAGAUCCACAGGGCUGUCUUUCUUGGGUAUCAAAACUAUAUUCGCUGAGUUUACUCCGUCUAGCUCUGACACUUGGUCAUAGAAAUCCUGGAAGAGGAGCAUCAGAUCAUCCUUGAGAAUAGACAUGAAGGCUUUAUAGAAUUCAUUGGUGAAACCAUCAGGCCCCGGGCUCUUAUUGUUGGGCAGCCGGCGCACUAUAUUUGCCACCUCUUCCCAAGUGAAGGGGGCCUCGAGCUCUUGCAAAUUGACAGGUUCAAGUACUUUCUCUUUCUCGACAAAACAACAGCGCAACUUGGGAGCAGCAAAAGAAUGGACACCAAAAAUGAACACAUCAUAAGCAAGGUCAGCUCUCGCAAGAGAUAAACACAAGCUACGGAUAUGCACUUUAUUGUUCUGACAAGCCAAUUAAUUUAUCUGUUACACAGCGAGUACUGAAACAACCAAAGGUUAGCCUGUUCACUGGAGACCGAUCCUUCAAGCACAACUCUAAACUACCGCACACUAAACUAGCAGAACCUAGCAGUUUAUAAGAAUUAUCACAACACAUUGCUCAAGCCAUAUGCCGCUCUAGCAGAAGAAGGUACAAUUUAC
rnacentral:lncRNA from 1 species